rnacentral:lncRNA from 9 species
GAGCCGGGCACCUACUGGUCCAGUCCAGGAGAGGACAGAGGAGGGAUGGACUGGCUCUGCUGCAUCCCGCUCUCCCGAGGCCGAGGCCGAGGCCGAGGCCGCAGGCGUCGUCACGGCAGAGAUGGCCUCUGCCAAGCCUGCAGAACCUGGAUGAGAACGCGAGGCGGACGCCUAUGGGCCGUUGCCCGCAGGGACCCAGAGAGUCCCCCACCUGAGACCCGCCAGGAACAGGGUGAGGAAGGCAGAAGGCCACCUGAGGAACCUCCACACAGACUGCUCCCCGGGGUCCUCUGCCGGGCUGGUCGGGAGCACAGGAGCGCCAGCUGUGGCCAUGAAGACACCGUCCACAUGAGCCUGACAACCCUGGAAGGCCUGGC